rnacentral:tRNA from 1 species
AUUUAAGUAGUUUAAAAAAAAUAUUGAUUUGUGGAGUCAAAGAUAUAGGAAUAUCUUAAAUA